UACGGGAGGCAGCGGUGGGGAAUAUUGGACAAUGGGCGCAAGCCUGAUCCAGCGAUGCCGCGUGAGUGAUGAAGGCCCUCGGGUCGUAAAGCUCUUUUACCAGGGAUGAUAAUGACAGUACCUGGAGAAUAAGCUCCGGCUAACUCCGUGCCAGCAGCCGCGGUAAU
rnacentral:rRNA from 1 species